rnacentral:rRNA from 1 species
AUGCAGGUGCCCGGAUGUGAAGUCGCUGGCGCCCCGCGUUCCACCGGAGUGCCGCUGCUGUCUCCCCCCGUUCCACCGGAGGAGCUAAUGAGUCGCUGGCACCCCAUUCCAGACCACCACCACCAGAUCCGGAGUGCCGCCGCCGGAUCCUGUCCCCGUCAGGCCUGCAUCAACGACCGCCGCACGAACCCUUCGUCCCCGUCAACGACUCCCGGCAAGAACCGGGACAGCGUCGCGCGCCCAUCCCCGUCUCGAACGCUCCAGUGCCGUUGCGGUCCGUGCUGUCGUAAUUUCAUUAUCAUUCAAAAUAUAUUAUGA